AGAGUUUGAUCAUGGCUCAGGAUGAACGCUGGCGGUCUGCUUAACACAUGCAAGUCGAACGGAGUAGAAAUACUUAGUGGCGGACGGGUGAGUAACGCGUGAGAAUCUGCCUUCAGGACGGAGACAACAGUUGGAAACGACUGCUAAGCCCCGAUGAACCGAAAGGGAAAAUAUUUAUAGCCUGAAGAUGAGCUCGCGUCCGAUUAGCUAGUUGGCGGAGUAAAAGCCCACCAAGGCGACGAUCGGUAGCUGGUCUGAGAGGACGAUCAGCCACACUGGGACUGAGACACGGCCCAGACUCCUACGGGAGGCAGCAGUGGGGAAUUUUCCGCAAUGGGCGAAAGCCUGACGGAGCAAGACCGCGUGGGGGAAGAAGGCUCUUGGGUUGUAAACCCCUUUUCUCAGGGAAGAACAAAAUGACGGUACCUGAGGAAUAAGCAUCGGCUAACUCCGUGCCAGCAGCCGCGGUAAUACGGAGGAUGCAAGCGUUAUCCGGAUUUAUUGGGCGUAAAGCGUCCGCAGGUGGCAGUUCAAGUCUGCUGUCAAAGGUCGGGGCUCAACCCCGAACAGGCAGUGGAAACUGAACAGCUAGAGUACGGUAGGGGCAGAGGGAAUUCCUGGUGUAGCGGUGAAAUGCGUAGAGAUCAGGAAGAACAUCGGUGGCGAAGGCGCUCUGCUGGACCAUAACUGACACUCAGGGACGAAAGCUAGGGGAGCGAAUGGGAUUAGAUACCCCGGUAGUCC
rnacentral:rRNA from 1 species